GACGAACGCUGGCGGCGUGCCUAAUACAUGCAAGUAGAACGCUGAAGGAGGAGCUUGCUUCUCUGGAUGAGUUGCGAACGGGUGAGUAACGCGUAGGUAACCUGCCUGGUAGCGGGGGAUAACUAUUGGAAACGAUAGCUAAUACCGCAUAAGAGUAGAUGUUGCAUGACAUUUGCUUAAAAGGUGCAAUUGCAUCACUACCAGAUGGACCUGCGUUGUAUUAGCUAGUUGGUGGGGUAACGGCUCACCAAAGCGACGAUACAUAGCCGACCUGAGAGGGUGAUCGGCCACACUGGGACUGAGACACGGCCCAGACUCCUACGGGAGGCAGCAGUAGGGAAUCUUCGGCAAUGGACGGAAGUCUGACCGAGCAACGCCGCGUGAGUGAAGAAGGUUUUCGGAUCGUAAAGCUCUGUUGUAAGAGAAGAACGAGUGUGAGAGUGGAAAGUUCACACUGUGACGGUAUCUUACCAGAAAGGGACGGCUAACUACGUG
rnacentral:rRNA from 1 species